AGCCUCAUUGUACAUAAGAAUGGGCAUUGUUGGUCAAUGUGGCUAAAUUGAGAUACAGGUCAUGUUUCCAUCGCAGCAGAUUAACUACAGUGGUGACAAUAAGGCCUGUAACAUUU